UCUUCGUUUCUUUCUUGAUAAUCUCAAAAUAUUUAUUUAAUUAUAAAUCAUUUACGUUCGAUUUUCGACUUGCCUUAUUUUUGGAGGUCUCGCACGCAUGGCGAAGGUGAAACCGAAUUCCGAACCCGAAUCGGAAUCCGAUACGAUCCCACCCCAAGCCCCAGCUCAGCACUAAACUCGAGCCGCAAUCAAAAGCUUACAUUUCAUUAAAAGCACGCUUAAGCGCAUUUAAAUGUAAAAUUAUACAAUUUGUUUCACGAUAUGUAUGCAUAAAUGCAAAUAUUUUGAAAGUAUUUCGUAAAGCCACCUGACUAAAACUUAUUUUGAGAGGGAUUCUUCGCUCUCUCUGGCACGUAUUGAUUUCCAAAAUGGGUUUCAUGUGACAUUGCCAGUCAUAAUUUGAGCAAUUUGUUAUACAAUCUGCAGAUAUUCCUUAUCCGCCUGAACAUUGCGUGUCCCUUGCAGCCCAGUCUUGACCAUUCUAAUGCUCUCUGGGGGGGGGUUUGGUUUUGGCCCGUUUUGCUGUUUUCCUCUUGUCGUGCUUUGUUUUUGUCCACGAUUCUGUCUUUUGGCACUUGAAAAUGAUUUGUAGCGGCGGCGAAUGGUGCUGCCUGCACGAAAUGUUGCGUCUGCCGGGGGCCAAAGAGCCAAGUAGCAAUAAUGAAAAUGCCGGACAAAAAAAGCAGGCAGCGUGUGGGCGCUACGGUCACAUAUGUAUGUACAUAUCAGCGGUAUCUAGCCUGGCCGAAAACGGCGACCCACACGGGCAGAUCUCGUUAUAUUCAAGCACAAUUUCAUUUCGUCUUCGCUGCUGAUAACCAAGUAGCCGCGUUUUCGACGAGACAGAAACGUGGGCUGCGUUCUGUCCGUCCGUUUGUCCGCUUGUCAGUCAUUGUCUAUGGGAGCCCCAUCUGCGACAAAUGCGUGCGAAAAUAAAUUCCCCCAAUGAGUUGGAUAGUCGGCGCGGACACACCCUAAAUAAAAAAAAAAAUACUGACGGAAAAAAAAUGUGAAAAUAAUUUGAAAGUGUUUGAACUUUUAUAAGAUUGGUUUUGACAGUUUGUAAAUGAUGUGUAAAUAAAUUACACCAAUCACAUAUCUUGGAUGGAUAGUUUCCAUUAUUUAUAUCUUGAUGACCUCAGGACUGCUUUCUUAAAACAUAUUUUACUCUAUGUGCAAAUGCAUAUGCAGAUAGAUUUUUAGAAGACGGCCAGCUACGGGUUUCCAGUGCACCUCUCUCCCCAAAGCGUUUGGUCAUGGUCUUACUAUGGCUGCAUCUAUGGCAUGGAUAUGGCUUUCGUUCCCGACUCGAACCCAGAGUCAGACUCCAGCACCAACUUCAACUCAGACGCAGACUCAUAUACCGACAUACAUCGGCUGGUGGAAUUGACGGCUGCUGCACGCUCUUGUGUAACCUUUUAAUCCGUUUUGUAAGCAGAACGUAACGCACGUUCGCAUAAAAAGCAAACGCAACACAAAAGGAACAGCAAUUGCGGGACCGGCAGCGGAAACAAGCUGCACACAAUGGAUUCCAUACCCGGCUGAAGACCAAUACCCAUACCCAUACCAAUACCCAUUCCGAUGCACAUGACAAUCCACAUUGGAUAUGAUAAAGGUUUCCAUAAAUUAAUCUUUUGAAACUCCUUACUAAUAGAGGUCGAACUGAGACCCAAGAAAACCCAACUCUGUAGAACUUAGAACUAUCGACUCAACGUUUGACUUCAUACAUACAUCCCUUCAUUGUAUUUC